GAGAAGAGAAGAAACCCCAGA
rnacentral:tRNA from 1 species